rnacentral:lncRNA from 1 species
AGCAACAGAGGGCACCGCUGCUCAGCUUCUUCUUCUUCUUCACAUAAAAACACACAUAUUAGAGAUUGGAGGGCGGCCUCCCAUCUGCUUCGACACCAACAAAAAGCAUGUCAUCUCCUCCCCUAUUUGGAUUUCUCUAAAGAACAGAGAACAAAUCGAACCCCCUUCCAUCUCCGAACCAAAAAAAACCAGUAGCAGUACCCUCGUCCGUCCACCCCCUUUAACCUGAAAUCGACCCCAAAAACCACCAGCCUCAACCCUCAGUUUCCACCCAAAAACCCACCGGAACGGACUACCCCCAAAACGCAUGAAAUCAGUUCCAAAUAUUGCAGCAAACCAGCUGCGAAAAUAGCAGAAACGCGGCUGUAAAUCAGCACAAAAGCGCUCAAGAACAGUCCAAUGUCACGUCUGUUCCGUUUCUUCUCUUCGAUUUUGAUUUUUUGUUUCAUAAUGGACUUGAGUUUUGACAGAAUUUGAUGUGUUCGGGUUUGAUAUUGGCGAGAGCUUUUUGUGAGUUUUGUUUUUUCUUUCUGGGUUAAAGUCGAGUUCAUAGCUGUCUCGCUGAGUUCGAAUCUGUUGCGGCUGAGUUUUCAUCCUUGUUGUUUUUCACAUACUGGCCCUUAUUUGGUUCACCUUUCUUGUUUGCCUUAGUUGAGAGGUACACAACUGUAAACUUACACUUUUCUGGUUGAAUUAAUUGAAAUUGGCUCAUGUUCAUUCCCUACUCCUAUUUUCUUUUACGAUCUUGAUGAAUUGGACAUUGUUAAUUUGUUUAUGAAAGAGUGACUGGGAUCCACAUAUGUUAAUACUGAGUUUGUGGUUGUUUUGUUGUCUAAAUUGUUGAUAAGCAUUCUUCAUAUCCAUGACCAUAAACUAAUGAUUAUACUGAUUUUGGAAAGUUGGUUCAGUGUUUUAUUGAUGGGUCGCCGUAUAGUUGCUUUGUAAAAUCAAAUGUUGUCGUGUGGUUUAAAAUAGCCAUGAUUCAAGCUUGUUUGUAAUUGUUAUUUUACACGGUCGUGUAGUAACUCUUCGGACGAUGAAUUUGCUACAGGGUUGUUUCUAUUACCAACUCAGACAAUAGUUGAAUCUUGAAUUUCAUUGUAUCAUAUUCAUAUAUAUUAUUUAUCCAAAUGUGGGCCACUUGGAGUAAAGAAUCCUAAUUUGAACUUUUAUUUUCCUUUGAGACUAAGGUUUGCUUUAUGGUAAGGGGAUUUGUAAUAGUAACUGUAUCAGUUGGUAUGGCAAGAAUUGGUAGAAGAAUUUGUGAAAUUAGAAGUGAGAAGAUGUAAUAUUGGUAAAAUGGCGUUUGUUUUUUGACUGCUAAUGUUUCUGAUUGUUGACUUCAAGAAUGAGCUAUUUCUUAGCUUUUGUACUUCUCUAUAGACCAUCGGACAUUUAUGGGAAGCUUGGUAUGAUAUUUUGAGAUUUCCUCUUAUAAUGUUUCUUGUUUCCCUCUUGAUUGCAUGGAUAAUUUUGGGUGCUCUUUUAUGUGCAUUUAAAUCUUGAAGAGAUGAAGUUGUUUACGACAGGCAUUGCCAUGAAUUUUAAUUGUCUCAUAAGCUUGUGUUGAUCAUUUUGCCUUAGCCGAUUAGCAUAAUAAAAUAAUAAUUUGAGGCGUGCCAUGCCAAACAAAAUCUUAAAACUCAUGGCCCUCACUUAAUUAAGUUUAACUCUUUAGAAAACAAGGUGUGCCAUUAGUGAAUUUUUCAUGGCCCUCGCAAACUUGAAAGUGUGUAGUUUCUUUAGGCGCUCAAUUUAAAUUAAUUUCCUUAAACUCGGGUGUGCAUUUCAUGUUACCCAAAUCCAAAUCUCAACAACGUUAAAUAAAUUGUAUCAUGAACUGCGGGUGCAUUUCAUGUGACGUGGUUCAAGGCGAUUUUUAAAUAAUGUUUAAUCUUUCUAAUAAUUAAUUAAAGCGGUUAUAAAGUUAAAAUUGAACCAUAUGUUAAAACAUGUAUUAAAAUAAAUUAAUAGGCCAAUUAUAACAUUUGAGCGACCGUGCUAGAACCAAGGAACCCAUCCACUGGUUAACAGAAUUCCUUACCCGAAUUUCUGUGUUCGCAGACUGUAAAACAGUCAAUCUUUUCCUCGAUUUGAGAUUCUAAACCGGUGACUGGGGACACCAUAAAUUAUCCCAAGUGACGACUCUUAAUUUUUAAUAAAAUGAUCUCAUUUUGAUUGUCACUUUAAGUUGAAAAAAACUCUCUUAUACCCUUCUGAAGGUAGGAAAAAAGAGGUGUGACAGAAGUUCGAGGUAAGCGUUUGGUCUAACUUUAGCUUGAGGGAUUAAGAGUUGUGUCCUAUUUGCUAUUUGUUUCUUGUUGAGUACGACGUAUAGGCAUGGUGACGAGUAUCUAUACGUUGGUGUUGAGCAUGGCCGUGAGUCUUAUAUUGUGAUUUCAUGACUUCAUUGUAUUAUUCAUGUUUUGGUGAGGAUUUCCAUUUGUUGUGUAAUGUCGUGGAAAGAAUUGUAACCUAUGAACAUUGAGGAGUGUUGGCUCCAGUUGUAUAACGAAUUGUGAAAGUAUAAGUGAUAAUUGAACCUCUAGAGUAUUGGCUCGAGUUGUGAAGUGAAUUGUGAAGUAAAAGUGAGAAAGAGAAGAGAUCAUUAUGUUGCCCCCUUGACGGGCUAUUGUUGAGUUGUGGUUCCCUUGCAUUGUAUUCUUAAUUGAUACUCCCUCCGUUUUAAUUUAUGUGAACUCAUUUGGCUGGGCACAAAGUUUAAGAAAAUAGAGAAGAUUUUUGAUCUUGUGGUGUAAAAUGAGGCACAUAUAUUUUGUGUGGCUAUAAAUCAUUGUGUAAAGGUAAAUUAUUUCUAAAUAAGGAAAGGGGUCUUUUUUUUUGGCACGGACGAAAAAGAAAAUAGGUUCACAUAAAUUGAAACAGAGGGAGUAUUACGGAUGCCUAGGUUGAUGACUCUUUGUGUUGGGUAAGGAUUAUGAUUCUCGGGGCAAGAAGUUUGGUUAUAGAUGAGGUAGUUAGAUGUUGUAAUUGGUUAUAGUUGUUUCUCCCUUGCCGGGACAUAAUUAUUUAUGCUGUCGAAUCCCUUGUCAGGAUAGUGUAGAUCUUAUUGAUCCCUCGUCGGGACUCUUGUCAUGAUUGUUGUUGAUUUUAUAUUGGAUCGGGUCGCACGCCGCAACAAUAUUAUAUGUGGAUCGGGUUGCACGCUGCAAAAAUAUUAUAUGUGGAUUGGGUUGCAUGCUGCAAUAAUAUUAUUUGUGGAUCGGGUUGCACGCCACAACAAUGUUAUAUUGGAUUGAGUUGCAUGCCGCAACAAUGUUAUGGGUGGAUCGUGUUGCACGCCGCGACAACGAUAUAUGUGGAUCGGGUUGCACGCCGCAACAAUGACAAAUGAUAUGGAUCGGGUUGCACGCCGCAACAGUGUUGAUAUAUAUUGGGGUCGGGUUGCGCACCGCAACAAUUAUUGAUACACGUGUGCUUAGUGUGGAUAUUAGUUUCUUUUGUUUUGCUGUGGACUCUAAGCUACCCUUAGACUGUUACUCUGGAUUUACUGUCAAUACUGGUAUACCCCUGCAGCAUGUUUCCCCCUCCCAUCUUUACUUGCUUAUUCCUGCUUUACUUUCCGCUGUAUAUUAUAUAACUGCACAGGUUUAUUUGGUAGUCUUGUCCUAGCCUCGUCACUACUUCGCCGAGGUUAGGCUAAGAACUUACCAGCACAUGCGGUCGGUUGUGCUGAUACUACGCUCUGUACUCUUUUGUGCAGACCCCAGUAUUGUAGACUUCGGACCGCAGUGAGAUUGCUGAUUCUUGUUCAUCAGGCGACCUGAGGUAGCCCUGUAGACAUCCGUAGGCCUUGGCGUCUCCUUUCUAUUUACCUUUAUGUUUCUUACAUGUAUUUCUAGAGACAGUGUUGUAUUAAAUUCUUUCAGACCUUUAUUUGUAGUAUUCUUAGAUCGUCUGUGAAACUGUGAUACCAGUUCUGGGUAGUCGAGAC